AUGACAAAUAUGGUUCGAUGGCUCUUCUCUACUAACCACAAGGAUAUUGGGACUCUCUAUUUCAUCUUCAGUGCCAUUGCAGGAGUGAUGGGCACAUGCUUCUCCGUACUAAUUCGUAUGGAAUUAGCCCGACCCGGCGAUCAAAUUCUUGGUGGGAAUCAUCAACUUUAUAAUGUUUUAAUAACGGCUCACGCUUUUUUAAUGAUCUUUUUUAUGGUUAUGCCGGCGAUGCUAGGUGGAUUUGGUAAUUGGUUUGUUCUGAUUCUGAUAGGUGCACCUGACAUGGCAUUUCCACGAUUAAAUAAUAUAUCAUUCUGGUUGUUGCCACCAAGUCUCUUGCUCCUAUUAAGAUCAGCCUUAGUAGAAGUGGGCAAUGGCACUGGGUGGACAGUCUAUCCGCCCUUAAGUGGUAGUACCAGCCAUUCUGGAGGAGCAGUUGAUUUAGCAAUUUUUAGUCUUCAUCUAUCAGGUAUUUCAUCAAUUUUAGGUUCUAUCAAUUUUAUAACAACUAUAUUCAACAUGCGUGGACCUGGAAUGACUAUGCAUAGAUUACCACUUUUUGUGUGGUCCGUUCUAGUGACAGCAUUCCUACUUUUAUUAUCACUUCUGGUACUGGCGGGGGCAAUUACAAUGUUAUUAACCGAUCAAAACUUUAAUACAACCUUUUUUGAUCCUGCAGGAGGGGGAGACCCAAUAUUAUACCAGCAUCUCUUUUGGUUCUUCGGUCAUCCAGAGGUGUAUAUUCUCAUUCUGCCUGGAUUUGGUAUUAUUAGUCGUAUCGUAUCGACCUUUUCAAGAAAAUCGGUCUUCGGGUAUCUAGGCAUGGUUUAUGCCAUGAUAAGUAUAGGUGUUCUUGGAUUUCUAGUUUGGGCUCAUCAUAUGUUUACUGUGGGCUUAGACAUUGAUACGCAUGCCUACUUCACCGCAGCUACCAUGAUCAUAGUUGUGCCCACAGGAAUCAAAAUCUUUAGUUGGAUCGCUACCAUGUGGGGAGGUUCGAUACAAUACAAAACACCCAUGUUAUUUGCUGUAGAGUCAUCUUUUUGUUCACCAUAG
rnacentral:rRNA from 1 species